UUUUCGUUUUAGGGCUGCACUUGCUGCAUAUGGAGGUUCCCAGGCUAGGGGUCGAAUUGGAGCUGUAGCCACCGGCCUACACCAGAGCCUCUUCGACCUACACCACAGCUCAGUGGCAAUACCACUUAACCCACUAAGCGAGGCCAGGGAUUGAACCUUCAUCCUCAUGGAGACAACAUCAGGUUCUUAACCCAUGGAGCCACAGUGGGAACUCCUACAAUCAGGACUUUUAAUGAAGGUGCACAUUGUGUCUUGACCAUAACGCUGCGGCCACUUAGCAGCUGCGUACGGGGCAAGCACCACUUUAUGUGCCCUGGGACUGAAGCCUGCUUUGACUGGCUUGGCAGCAGCAUCUGCUCUGUUGUGGUGUCUCCACACGGAGGUGGAGAAGGGACAGGCCGGGCCCUGUCUGUCGACGCCUGGGCCGUGGACGUGCGCUGGCUCGGGUUUGGUCCCAAGAAGGAAGUGCUGCUUUGGCAACAAACACCGACAAAGCUGGGCGGCGUCGGGGCGGGAGAGGGGCAGAGGCCGCAGGAGGCGUCUGAGGUGCCUGCUAGCACCGCGAGUGCUCAGUGUCGGGGUGAGGCCCCAAAAGACGAGGGGUGCUGCCGAGAGAGCGGCCGCCUUCCCCGAUUCACAAGUAACCCGGGCAGACGGGAGACACGUGGAGACGGCGCAUUCAAGGGCGGCUGGGGAACGUGGGGAUCCUUGGUGUGACAGCUGUGACAGCAAACACACCUCAGAGGAAACGCUCCUGAGAAACCAGGGCUGGAUGCGCUCGCUGGGAGAUGCCUUUCCAGGAGCAGACCGCGCGUCCUGUGCGCUGAACCGGGUGAACGCCGAAGCUGCCACCCCCUCUUCACAGGCAGGGAGCGCAGGGCCGUCCUCUGGACCAGACUGUCCCCCACGGCGAGGCACGUCACGCCCCAGGCACGUGAUUCCAGAGCGUUGGAACUGGAGUUGGGAGGGACCCCGUCCCCCAUGUGUGACCAACACCGAUCGUGUGUCACUCCAGGGGCUCAGCGGCUCCUGGACAGAGACCUGGGCCUGCCCUCAGCGAUCUCGGUCUAUCGGGCAGAGGUUCAAGUUUAAACAAAUGGGUCUAAUAAGGGUCCUAGCUGCUAACACGUCCCCACAUCCGAGGAGUUUCACAUGCUGCUCUGCCAAAGGCAUUUGCUGUGGCAGAUUCCUGCGUCUGGGCUCCGUUUACAGUGCUGUGUCCGUUGCUGCUGUCCAGCGAAGUGACCCAGUCGCAGGCGUCCUUUUUCCCAUGCUGUCUCCCGUCACGUGCCGUCACGGGAACUGCAAAGAGCUCCCUGUGCUGAGCAGCAGGACCGCAUGGCUUGUCCACCUCAAUGUCAUCGUUGGCGUCGACCGGCCUGUCAAGGGGACGAUGAGCAUGGAAAGCGCACCACAGCUUUCAGACGAAGGAACAAGACGAACACGCAGGCGCUGGAGGAGGAGGAGACGGGCGAUCCACCUGGAAGAGCACUCGGAGUGACCACAGCGAAGGUGGUCCACGAUGCCGGGAAAAGAGCGGAGACACGGACGGAGGAGGUGCAAGAAACGUUUAACAAAGAGCCGAGGGUUUAAAGAGCAAGCAGACAGACUGAGACGAACAGCGCAACAUCU
rnacentral:lncRNA from 1 species